GAUGAACGCUGGCGGCGUGCCUAAUACAUGCAAGUCGAGCGAACAGACGAGGAGCUUGCUCCUCUGAUGUUAGCGGCGGACGGGUGAGUAACACGUGGAUAACCUACCUAUAAGACUGGGAUAACUUCGGGAAACCGGAGCUAAUACCGGAUAACAUGUUGAACCGCAUGGUUCAACAGUGAAAGACGGUCUUGCUGUCACUUAUAGAUGGAUCCGCGCCGCAUUAGCUAGUUGGUAAGGUAACGGCUUACCAAGGCAACGAUGCGUAGCCGACCUGAGAGGGUGAUCGGCCACACUGGAACUGAGACACGGUCCAGACUCCUACGGGAGGCAGCAGUAGGGAAUCUUCCGCAAUGGGCGAAAGCCUGACGGAGCAACGCCGCGUGAGUGAAGAAGGUCUUCGGAUCGUAAAACUCUGUUAUUAGGGUAGAACAAAUGUGUAAGUAACUAUGCACGUCUUGACGGUACCUAAUCAGAAAGCCACGGCUAACUACGUG
rnacentral:rRNA from 1 species